GAUGAAGAACGUAGCGAAAUGCGAUAAGUAAUGUGAAUUGCAGAAUUCAGUGAAUCAUCGAAUCUUUGAACGCACAUUGCGCCCCUCGGUAUUCUGGCGGGCAUGCCUGUUCGAGCGUCAUUUCAACCCUCAAGCCCCAGCGGCCUGGUGUUGGGGACCGGCGACCUCGCCCGAGCCCGCCCUCCGGGGCGCGUGCCCGGUGCGUCCGCCGCCCCCGAAAUGAAUUGGCGGCCUCGUCGCGGCCUCCUCUGCGUAGUAGCACAACCUCGCAAGCGGGAGCGCGACGCGGCCACUGCCGUAAAACGCCCAACUUUUUUAGAGUUGACCUCGGAUCAGGUAGGAAUACCCGCUGAACUUAAGCAUAUCAAUAAGCGGAGGA
rnacentral:misc_RNA from 1 species